rnacentral:lncRNA from 1 species
CCCUGCAUAAUUUUCGUUUUUUCAUUUGAUUUGGUACAAGGCCUACUCAGAAUGGGUUCCCUGAUCUCAAAAUUGUCAGUUUUCUUGCCUUUAGUUUAUAGGUACCUUAACAAAUACAUGUAUUUACCAUAUUGGCAGUCAGCACCAUACGACAUUCAUUCUUCAUGAUCUCAUAUUUGAGGUUAGCAGUUCGAAGUAAUGUAAGAGCUUGCAUGUUUAUAGUUCUAACUAGCUUUUAGUUUAGCGUAGGAUAAGUCUUCCAUGAAUUCUUAGUUAGCUAUUUAUUUUUGCUGGCUUUGCAUGACACUGCAAUUUUUUCAUAUUUUUCUUCAAAAGUUAACUAUUUUCUUAUCUACAAUUAUCUCCUAGCGUUAGCAAGUCUGUCGUCCCUGACCACCCUGUCAGUCAUCUAUACAACUGUGGUUCAUGCCUGCGUGCUAUCCGCUCCUAAAUUCUCACACCAUGUCAGGUGUUUAGAAGUGAUGAUCAUUGUGGUCUUUAGUUGUCAUGGCUGUAAUCCUAGUGCAUGGGCUUUUGUGGGCUGGUCCAACCGGAGUUGGUUGAUGGCAGGGCUGUGCUCCAGGGACCGUAUGGCUGAAGAAGGGAUGCAAAUGGUAAGAGUUUUGAGAUGCAUAAACUCCCGUCUUUGAAUCAGAAACAGAAAAUUGUUUGUUUUCUCGUUUCUUAGUUAUGCUACCCUGCUCCACAUAGGUUUUACAGUGAAGAGCUGAAGAAGUUGUGACGGCGAUGAAAGGACUGAAAGAUUUGCUCGAAGCAAAGACAUCUAGCCGAGAUACAUAUGGUAAGAAUCUUCAGAGAUUGACUUCUUUUCACCUACUAUUGAGAUAUAUACUUGCUCAUAGGUCACAACUCAAGUUACUUCCUUACCUGCACAUAAAGUAGUGAUAAGUCGAUAUAAUUUUUCCGAGAACCUAUUUUUUUAAUAUGACAGCAUUCUACCUGCCCUCUGUUCUCUUUUAUGAUAUUUUUUGCUUUUCAUACAUUUUGUAGCAACGAAGAGGAGGGAUCUUAUGUAUAAUAUGCGACAUCCAUGGUGCUUAAG